UGAACUUGUGAUCACAGGAAAAAACCUUUGGUGUGUUUGACUGAAGGACUUAUCACCUGUAGGAGCCCUUGUUGGAGUUGGGAUGAUCGCUGCUAACAGAAAAGAGAGAGAUCACUAGGGGAAACGCUUGACAAAGCAAGCGAGACACUCAGCUCCAACGACAAACACUGGUGGUAAGAAGGAGCUGAAGAGGCGGCAGGUCGGCAGGGACCUAUAUACACUGCCAAGAAGGGGUGAAAAACCUUCCGAUGACUCUGCACAUGGCACACACACCCCUACUUGGAAUUGACAUGAGCAAGUACUUGAACUGUUCCUUCCUAUGUGUCUGUAUGGCACCUAUUAUAUUGAAGCUUCUAUUCUGAUUUCAUAAUACUAGUGUAUGGAAAAAGGAGGUGCCAGGAAGAAUUUAUUUAGAUGAGCUUGAAGGAGGCUCUUUUGGAGGUCUUUGACCUAGGAAGUUUCUGGUCUGUAUUUUUAAUUUUUACAAGCACUUUUAUAAAUUGAGAAUAAAAAUAACACUAAAUAAAUAUUGAUAAAUUUGGGAAUA